AGCGUGCGGCGGCCCCCUUGGCCCUUUUUGCCCGGGAGGUCGCGUCUUCGUCUCUGGGGUCAGCCGACCAGUCCCCGAAUAUACGUUCAUGCGGAGUCAGUGAAGUGGAGGAGAUCCGGGAGUACUGCCGUAGUGGGAGAUGGCGGUCAGCGUGAGGGCUGAGCCCACUCGGGGGUGCACCGGGGCCCGGGACGGGCCUGCGCAGGCCGGCGCCGUUCGGCCCGAGCCGGGACGGGUCGGCAGGCUGGGCACGGCCGGCCGGGACGGAAGUUGGGACGCCGUCGGGGGCCCGCCGUGAGCCCGUUCUGCGGGAGCCAGCGCCGAGCUCGCGGAGGCCCGCCGCGGACGGAGCCCUGAACUCGUGGCUGAUAGAGUGACUGAAACUGACGGCGUACGGUUUGCCUGGCGGCAAAGAACUCCAAAUGAUAAUGGAUGAAAUACACAGCGUCUUCCAAAGGCUCGCCAAAGUUUCAAACCUUGGGAGUGGAUAUUUUGAAUAAUUUAGAAGGUAUCAGCACUAUUUUCAAUGCAGCCCUGCAUUAUUUUUUUUGUCCGGUCAUGGGGCCUGAACUCGACCUGGGCACUGUCCCUCAGCUCAAGGCGAGUGCUCUACC